AUGUCUGCAAACACGUGCAUGUGUUCACAGACCUGCCCGCCCAGGGCUGCCCCGAGGACCCCGACCCCCGCCCACAGAGGCCUGGCUGCUGGAGCAAGGCCAGCCGGCGGUGGGAGCCGUGCGAGCCUUCACAUGUCUGGCGCUGCCACAAGGCAGUGGCUGGGAACGCUCGCCUCCCCCGUGCAAGCUUCUUGCGGGGAGCCGGGCUGCAGAGAAGGGCAGGUGACGGAGAGAUGACCCCUUCCCUGUGUCCCUGUGCCUUCGGGCGAGUGGCCCAGACUCACCGCUACAAAGAACAUGGUGAAGAGAGACCAGAGCUGUUGGUUCCAGGAGACCACACUUCUUUUCUUGCCUUCAACCUCGGCAACAACCUGGCAACAACCUCAGAGUAAAGUGGCCCUGAGUAGAACCCUCAGCUUGCAGCCUCUUUCUGUCCUGGCCCUCUCCCCCGGGCCCCAGGGAGCCGCCAGCGGUCUCGGCUGCUGGAGCCCCGUGUCUGCCGGCGGCUGGAGGACAAGGUGUAGUCGAUUCUCGUCAGCAAAGAGCCUCGCCGACCAGCGCGGUGCUUUGCCAGCCCACGCCAGGUCCUGCCUGCUCUUUCCCCACCUGGGUUUCCUUGGCAACUGGACUAAUGCGACAGUGUUUUCUCCUCGGCCACAUUGUUUCGCAUCUGUAGCAAACGGCCGGGCCAUCCCUCUCUCCUGGGCUCCCAGGCCGAGGCCGUAGCUGGCGCGGCAGCCUCCCUCCGCUGGCCUUGGGGAAACCAAGGCCCCCCUUCCCUUGUUGUAAGAGGUUUUAGGGGCACUGUCUGGCAGGGUGUCCCCUGUCCUCUGGCCUAGGAAUGAUGGCGGUGGUGAGCUACCCAGGCAGACUCUCUCCAGCCUGAUCGCUUGUGUCCUGACUGGUCUGCUUUCUGCCUGAGAACCCUCUUUAGUUCUACUCUUUUUUCAUCCUGAUAUAGUUCACAUAGGACAAAGUGCACGGUUGGAUGAGUUCUGACAAGUGCACAUAGCGAUGGGACCACUGCGUCUCCCCAUCAGCCUAGGGUGAGCCCUCACGCCCUUGGCCAGCAUAAGCAAGCGCUGCUCUGCCGCACGCCUGACUUGGCCUGUUCCAGAAUUCCGCACAGAUGGGACCAUGUGGUGUGCGUUUGGGGUCUGACUUCUGCUCCAGCGACAGAGCGUCCCCGAGAGUCGCCCACGUUGUGUGAGGUGGUUUCUUUGGUUGCCAGGCGAGUGGGGCUCUACCACGUGGACGGGCCACGCUUCUGUUCUCCUGAGAGCUGGACCGCCGAGGGCGACCACGCUUGGACAACAGGAACACAAGUGACAGGAACCUUUCUGCGGUUUGCAACAACGCAUUCGGUGGUGCCGUUUCCCCGCUUCGGAGCCUUCCAAGGCGCCUACCAUCCCUGGGGUAGUGUCCACGGGUCGAGGAGCACCCCAGGCCCCGCCGGCCCACACACGCGCGGGUCUCCGCCGCACUCUAGACCCCGUCCCUCCUCUACUCCACCCCCCGCAAGAACAUAGUCCCUCCUCCUCCUCUUUCGGCCGUUGGCUCGAUAGCACCGUCCGUGGGGAGGGCCGUGCCCCCCGCCUGGCGCCCAGGCAAACCGAGGUGCUCCUGUGCCGGGCCCGAACCUGGCACACCGUAGGUGUUCGACAAACACUGGCUGAAUGAAUGACUUUGUUCAAAGAAUGAAUGAAAGUCCAGGGAGGCCAGGCUCCUGCACAUUUCAGUCUGGCACCGAGGAGCCCCGUUCCCUCUCCAAAUGGGAAAACCAGAUCCUGCUCUGCGUGCGGCUCUGGGCAGGGCAGGAGGCGGCGACCCCACGUGGGCCGUCCCAGAGGCCUGGUCCUCCCUGCCCACCUCUCCACCCCUCCGCUCCGGCCGCACCCAGCUCCCAGCCCCCGUCCCCGGAGGAAUACAAACCCCGUGGUGUGGAAACGCGAGUAGAUGUCAGGUGCUCAGAGAACCCUCUGGAGCCACAAACCCCGCGCAGAGGCAGGAAGACAUUCCACAGUUGGUU